GACAGCACACAUCUCAAACUGGAGCAGAUACAGAGCUUUUAUCCUGACUCCGACUGUCAAAUGACCAGUUGCUGGUGCAGUGGAGGUGCAGUUCCCUGCAGGUUCUGAACCUUUUAUAGAGCCUUGGGUGAAGCUGUUGAGCUCCUGGAGUUGUGAGGCACCAGAACAGGUUGUCCAUGAAUAUGAGGGAUGAACAUUCCAGGAGGGUUUCAGAACACAGACGGACAAGGCUCUCGGUGACCUGAUCCAACCUUGAAGUUGCCUGCUUUGAAUUUGUCUAUGAUUUCAAAUUCUCUGUGCUACCAUAAGACUAGAAAAGGGAUGUUUUAUUAAAAGCCAAAAUGUUUAUUCAGUCUCUUAAAUCUGCACAUUCA